GACGAACGCUGGCGGCGUGCUUAACACAUGCAAGUCGUACGGUAAGGCCCUUUCGGGGGUCCUCGAGUGGCGACCGGGUGAGUAACACGUACGUAACCUUCACCCACCUUUGGGAUAACGCUAGGAAACUGGAGCUAAUACUGGUUAUGUGCUCCUGCUGCAUGGUGGGGGUUGGAAAGCUCCGGCGGUUGUGGAUGGACUCGCGGCCUAUCUGCUUGUUGGUGGGGUAGUGGCCUACCAAGGCGGCGUCGGGUAGCCGGCCUGUGAGGGUGACCGGCCACACUGAGACUUAGAUACGGCCCAGACUCCUACGGGAGGCAGCAGUGGGGAAGAUUGAACAAGGGGCGCAAGCCUGAUGCAGCAGCGCCGCGUGCGGGAUGACGGCCUUCGGGUUGUAAACCGAUUUCAGCAGGGACGAAGCUUUUUGUGACGGUACCUGCAGAAGAAGCACCGGCUAACUACGUG
rnacentral:rRNA from 1 species